ensembl:snRNA U6 U6 spliceosomal RNA
GUGCUAACUUCCGCAGCACAAAUAAUAAAUAGAAUGACACAGAGAAGAUUAGCAUGGCUCCUGUGCAAGGAUAACUCACAAAUUCAUGAAACGUUCCUUUUUUUU